rnacentral:rRNA from 1 species
UACGUAGGGGGCAAGCGUUGUCCGGAUUUAUUGGGCGUAAAGAGCGUGUAGGCGGCCAGGUAGGUCAGCUGUGAAAACUCGAGGCUCACCUCGAGACGCCGGUUGAAACCAUCUGGCUAGAGUCCGGAAGAGGAGAGUGGAAUUCCUGGUGUGAGCGGUGAAAUGCGCAGAUAUCAGGAAGAACACCCGUGGCUAAGGCGGCUCUCUAGUACGGUACUGACGCUGAGACGCGAAAGCGUGGGGAGCGAACAGG